UUAAGCGAUUACUGGUGUGAAUUGCAGAAUCCCGUGAACCAUCGAGUCUUUGACGCAAGUUGCGCCCGAAGCCAUUAGGCUGAGGGCACGUCUGCCUGGGUGUCA
rnacentral:rRNA from 1 species